GGAGGAGGAGGAGGAGGAGGAGGAGGAGUGCAGAGCAUCCUCUUCAGAGACCAGCAGAAUAAACAAGGUCCCCUGCUGAAGCUUCACCAGAGGACUCCUCGCAGACGAGGACAACAGCCCAAAUUACUCAACAGCCCUGAAGACAGCCUGUACUACAACCAGCUCAAUCGUGCUCUGGAUUAUCAGGGGAGCAAGAGGAAGCCGAGGAAACUUGGGCAAAUCAAAGUGCUGGACGGCGAGGACGAGUACUACAAAUUACUGUCUGCCCAGGACUCCAUCCCCGAGGAGGACUUCGCCACGGCAACCCCUCCCACGUUGUCACGGGAGCCCCUCAUCACUCAGACCUGAGCCUCAGGUCCGCCUGUCAGCUGGUUGCCUUCUGUGACCCUAGGAAGAGGAACCACUGCCUCUUGAAGCCAUUCAGAUUUUCCUAUUUAUUUGGCCAUGUUUGUCAGAAACUGUUUUUGAGGUGCUGAAUGUGAACUGUAGCUGAGUUAAUAGUAUGUAGUCUCAUGAUUUAUGUAAAUAAUAUUUGUAGUUUUCAUAUGUUUUGUUUUACUGGUUAUUAUAUCACGUCAUCUCAAUUAACAGGGAAGACUGUAAAUAUGAUAUUACAGUUUGUAAAUCUUUUUCUAUUUUGUUCUUUUUUCCUCAUCAAAACAACACAACUGAAUGUUCUUUAUUUUCUAUUUGUGUUUAGCAAAAAUUAGAUGGGCGAGAUGAUGUAGAGAAUAUGAUGUUAUUUUUGCCGUUAACAUCCUUGUUUUAAUUUUAAAAAUUGUGGAAUUGUUCUUAACACAGAAAAGAGCUCAUGGUUGUUUUGUACUCACACGCUGUAAUAAAGUUCAU